UACGAAGGGGGCUAGCGUUGUUCGGAAUUACUGGGCGUAAAGGGCGCGUAGGCGGUGUGUCAAGUCAGGGGUGAAAGCCCCGGGCUCAACCUGGGAACCGCGCUUGAGACUGGCACGCUCGAGUUCGGGAGAGGAUGGUGGAAUUCCCAGUGUAGAGGUGAAAUUCGUAGAUAUUGGGAAGAACACCGAUGGCGAAGGCAGCCAUCUGGACCGACACUGACGCUGAGGCGCGAAAGCGUGGGGAGCAAACAGG
rnacentral:rRNA from 1 species